rnacentral:rRNA from 1 species
UCGGGUGACCAGCGGCGGACGGGUGAGUAAUGUCUGGGAAACUGCCUGAUGGAGGGGGAUAACUACUGGAAACGGUAGCUAAUUCCGCAUAAAGUCGCAAGACCAAAGUGGGGGACCUUCGGGCCUCAUGCCAUCAGAUGUGCCCAGAUGGGAUUAGCUAGUAGGUGGGGUAACGGCUCACCUAGGCGACGAUCCCUAGCUGGUUUGAGAGGAUGACCAGCCACACUGGAAAUGAGACACGGUCCAGACUCCUACGGGAGGCAGCAGUGGGGAAUAUUGCACAAUGGGGGAAACCCUGAUGCAGCCAUGCCGCGUGUGUGAAGAAGGCCUUCGGGUUGUAAAGCACUUUCAGCGAGGAGGAAAGGGGUGAUGCUAAUACCAUCAUUUUGUGACGUUACUAGCAGAAGAAGCACCGGCUAACUCCGUG